CACGUAGGGUGCGAGCGUUGUCCGGAAUUAUUGGGCGUAAAGAGCUCGUAGGCGGCUUAGCAAGUCGGGUGUGAAAACUCCAGGCUCAACCUGGAGACGCCACUCGAGACUGCUAUGGCUAGAGUCCGGUAGGGGACCACGGAAUUCCUGGUGUAGCGGUGAAAUGCGCAGAUAUCAGGAGGAACACCGGUGGCGAAGGCGGUGGUCUGGGCCGGCACUGACGCUGAGGAGCGAAAGCGUGGGGAGCAAACAGG
rnacentral:rRNA from 1 species